AUGGGCAAAAGACACGAACAGAAAAGUCACGGAGGAAGACGUAGACGUGGCCAACAAGCACACGAGACCAUGCUCCGCAUCACUGGCCAUCAGGGAAAUGCAGAUCAAAACCAGAAUGAGAUACCACCUCACACCGGUGAGAACAUUGCCAGGACAGGAAACACCAAAUGUGGGAGAGGCCGUGGAGAAAGGGGAACGUUUUCAAAAUUCAAAACUUUCAGAGGUAGCCCAUACUCACCUGAUAGGGACCAAGGCGGGGGGGGGGGGGGGGGUGCUCCCGGCCAGGCUGGGGAGCUUAGGGGGGGGCCUGAGAGCGGGGAGGGGCGCAGGGGCGGCGUGGCGGAGGGGGGCGGAGGAAGAGCCAAGGGCCUUGGGGGGCUCCUGGGGCCCAGCAGCCCAGGCCCUCAAGCCACCGCCCCAAGGCCCUGCCCUGACGGUGGACGGUGCCUGCACCCUCACCCCUCUGAGCGCGCGCAUGGGCUCCGCGGCACCCUCCCUGGGCCCCGGGGCAGGGCCCCCGCACCCUCCCUGAGCCGCCCGGAGGAGACCUGGCCUGACCCGGAGGGGGCCCCGCCGCCACCCCCUCCGCCAACAGGUCCCGCCCCUCCUCCCCCGCGCAGCCCUCUGCCCGGCACCCUGGCGGCCCAAAGGGUGUGGGUGUCGGCCCGGCUCGCUGUCCCCCGCGGUCCCUCCCGGGCACCCGCCGCGCCACCCGCGAGGGCCAGAUGCCUCUCGCACAGCCACCCCGGGGCCCCUCACGCCUCCCGGGGCCCACGCCGACCUGCGCGCCGGGGCCGGGGCCUGCAGAGCCGCUGCCGGGAGCCCCCAGCGCCGGGACCCGGAGGCCUGGAGCCGCGGUGCGGCCGCGCAACCUACUGCCCCGGCCACGGCGGGUCGGGUCGGGGUCGCCGCCUCUGCGCCCAGCUCCUCCCGCGGCCACGCCCUGGCGCCCCUCGGGUCAGCUCGGGGCAGGCGCGGGGCCAGCUCCGGCCACGCCCCGCCCCGCCCCCCGCAGAGCCUGGAGGGGACCCGAGACCGCCUCGGCCUCCGCCCGCUAGUCUGGUCGGGGCCCAGGGGCUCCGGGGUCCGAGGCCUUGCGCCCCCGGCUCAGUCCCGAGGGACUCCUGCUCACGGAGGCUCGGAGCCUCUCUCGGGCUCUGUGUCUCCCUCCCUGUCCCUCCGCCCGCCCCGGUCUCUGUCUCUCCCUCCCUGUCUUGCCCUGUCUCCCUCCCCCGUCUCUCUCUCUCCCUCCCAGUCUCUGUGUCCCUCCCAGUCUUUCUUCUCUCACUCCCUAUCUCGGCCUGUCCCUCCCUGUCUCUCCCUCCCUGUCUCUGUGUCUACCUUCUUGUCUCUCGGUCUCUCACUUGUCUCCCUCCCUGUCUCAUUCUCUCCAUCCUGUCUCUGUCUCGGUCUCUCCCUCCCUGUCUCAGUCUCCCCUCCUGUCUCUCGUCUCCCUCCCUGCACCCUGGUCUCUCCCCUCUGACUCAUCUCUCCCUCCCUGUCUCUGGAUCCCUCCUUCCCUGUCCUGUGUCGCUCCCCCUGUCUCCAUCUCUCACACCCGUCGUUUCAGUCUCUCCUCCUUGUCUCCAUCUCUCUCUCCCUCCCUGUCUCUCUGUCUCUUCCUCCCUGUCUCUUGGUGUCUCCCUCCCUGUCUCUGUCUGUCCCUCCCUGUCUCUCUCACCCUGUCUUUCUGUCUCUCCGUCCCUGUCUCUGACUCUCCUUCCCUGUGUCUGCGUCUGUCUCUCCCCGCCGCCCCAUCUCCGUCUCUCCUCCCCGUCUGGUUCGCUCCCUCCCUCUCUCUGA
rnacentral:lncRNA from 1 species